rnacentral:lncRNA from 1 species
AUGAAGACAUGCAAAGCACAGGCUAACACAAAGGACCUAAUGUCCAUUGCAGGUAGGAAAGUGCCUGGAAUAAAUCUGGAUCAUAAGAUUUUUUUGUUUUGUUUUUGUUUUCUUUUUUUGGCGGUACGCGGGCCUCUCACUGCUGUGUCCUCUCCCGUUGCGGAGCACAGGCUCCGGACGCGCAGGCUCAGCGGCCAUGGCUCACGGGCCCAGCCGCUCCAUGGCAUGUGGGAUCUUCCCGGACCGGGGCACGAACCCGUGUCCCCUGCAUCGGCAGGGGGACUCUCAACCACUGCGCCACCAGGGAAGCCCCGGAUCAUAAGAUUUUGUGUCUGUGUUUUAUAUCCUGUUUCUAUUCCUUUCCUUCUCGCUUCACCAUUUUACAUUCUCUUCCUGCCCUUAUGUACAACUGCAAUUUUUCAUAUGUUAUACUUUGAAUGGUAUCCAGUUUAAAAAUUUCAUGCAUCUUGCCCUUUGGCUUUUAUUCCAUGGUAUCCCAUCUAUUUCUGACUUGUCUCUCCUGAGAGAUUUUGCUUUGAGAGCACUUAGAAUGCAGUUCAUUUUGUCAAAGACAAGACUGACAGUCUCAGAGUCUUCUUAAUGACCAUAAAAAUGACUAAAAAUUUCUGGCGUGAAGUAAAAAUUUCCUGUUCAGCUCUAUUUCUGCAUCAGCCACAUAUUCUGAUCCAACAAUUGCAAAUUUGUUAUAUUCCUCCAUGUACUUAAAGAGCCCCACAAUUUACAGAGUUUCUGUAGGAAAAGGGAGGCUCUUCAGUGAAGCAGGAAGAGUGAGAACUCUAUUUUUAAUAUGUUUGCGCAUCAGAAUUCUUUUUCAAGUCACUUUAGAAUGAACACGAGCCGAUUCUCUAUUUUAACUCCACCCUCAAGCACUUCCAGAUGAUUUUUUAAUUGCCUUUUUUCCCCACUAGGUAAAAGUCAAUUUUGAUACAAUAAGUCCCCUCUAUACGAACCUUCAAGUUGCGAACUUUCAAAGAUGCGAACGUGUGUUCGCAUGUCCAGCCACGUAGGUUAGUUCACGUGUCUCGUGUACGUUGUCACCUGUGUGUGUGCGCUACAAGUGGUUGUGCUUUUGUGUACUUUACAGGACUGUAUAGAGUACAGUAGCACAGUAUCUUUAUUUCAAGCCCAGGCUGUAUGGAAGCAAGUGUAAAAACAGCGGUGAUGUAGCUGGUACUUUUCAAGGUACUGUACUGUAACAUUAAAAAUGUUUUUUAAAUUUUUUUUGUGCCUGUUUAUUAUGUAUUUUUUUGUGUGAAAAGUAUUAUAAACCUAUUACAGUCCAGUACUAUAUAGCCGAUUGUGUUAGUUGGGUACCUAGGCUAACUUUGUUGGACUUACGAACAAAUUGGAUUUACAAACGUGCUCUGGGAACGGAACUCGUUCCUACAUAGGGGACUUGCUGUAUUUCAGAACCAAGCUGCUUUGUGGAGAUGCAUAAACUCACUGUUACUUCAUUGGAUAUGCCUGAAUUCACUGAAUGAAUUUGGUCAUUUUUCUUUCUUUUUUUUUCCCUUUCAGGUUCAUGGGCCAAUUUCAUUUUAUUGUAAGUUGGAAUGUGGGGCAGCGGAUUAAGCAGAUAGGAGGGACUCAGAACCAGAAUUCUAGCUUUCCCCGCCCUUGUUGCACGUCUCCCUCUGUCUCUUGUCUUCUCACCUGGAGGAAGUGGGUGCUAGGACUGUCUUCCUGGAUGAGGAAAGGAAACGUAAUAUGAUCACUUAAAACAUAAGGAAACAUUGUCUCUUCUUUAAAAAGUGGUCUAAAGAAAUAAGUUCAUGCAUUGGGGUGCCACUUGGUGCAGAAAAACGUCUCUGUAUUCGGUUCCAAAUUUGUUUUAUCAUCUUAAGACAUUAGAAAGGCAGUUCUAGCCUAUGAUGUUCAUUCACUAAUUCGGUUAAUUCAGUCUAACAAAUAUUUAUUGGAUGUAUCUUGAAAAAAUAGAAACUGAAGGCAAGGGCUAAACUGGAAAC